rnacentral:rRNA from 1 species
AGAGUUUGAUCCUGGCUCAGAGCGAACGCUGGCGGCAGGCCUAACACAUGCAAGUCGAGCGGCCGUAGCAAUACGGCAGCGGCAGACGGGAGAGUAACACGUGGGAACGCGCCCUUCGGUUCGGAAUAACUCAGGGAAACUUGGGCUAAUACCGAAUACGCCCUUACGGGGAAAGAUUUAUUGCCGAAGGAACGGCCCGCGUCCGAUUAGCUAGUUGGUGAGGUAACGGCUCACCAAGGCGACGAUCGGUAGCUGGUCUGAGAGGAUGACCAGCCUCACUGGGACUGAGACACGGCCCAGACUCCUACGGGAGGCAGCAGUGGGGAAUAUUGGACAAUGGGCGCAAGCCUGAUCCAGCCAUGCCGCGUGGGUGAUGAAGGCCCUAGGGUUGUAAAGCCCUUUCAGCGGGGAAGAUAAUGACGGUACCCGCAGAAGAAGCCCCGGCUAACUUCGUGCCAGCCGCCGCGGUAAUUC